UUCCCAUCUCUUUAGUCAUGUCGUAGCCACCACCUAGGAGCUGGGACUGCCCCCCUGCUCACCAUGUCUGCCCUUCCUAUCACCCCUCAGCAGGGAGGAAAAGUUGCCUAUCUGUUGGGUCAGAUUUCUGAAGACUGAUGAGGCCCAUUUUCUGAUAUCCUUCGAGUUGGAUUUCGACUGGGUUCUGCCAGUGGGAUGUAUCCAUGCGAGAUUCUGGAACUAACAUCAGAGAGAGUCCAAGCUUCUAACUUUUAUCAGCGGCAGUGACAAUAGUCAAGCAGCAUUGAUGACAAACGGCAAGAGUUUAGAAAGUACCAGUGACGUGCCUGAUAGAAUCUCACCACAAGAUGGAAGCCAACUCGUCAGAAGCCUGGAAAGCCCACCCAGCGUGGGACCUCUGUGGGUCCAGGAUCUUGGAAUGGUAUCCCAUGGUUCAAUCUUCUGGAUUCAACCACAUAAAUUUACCCCACCCAUGUCGUGGACCCAAGCUUCCUACCAUGUAUACUUAGCUUAAAUGCAAGAUAGUACUAUUUUGUUCAUCUUGAUUGGAGUGAGAAAUGAAUAGGUCCAUGCACAUAUAUUUCUUUUACCACAACAAGAUGAUGAAGAAAUAAAUCCAUA
rnacentral:lncRNA from 1 species